rnacentral:rRNA from 1 species
UACGAAGGGGGCUAGCGUUGCUCGGAAUGACUGGGCGUAAAGCGCACGUAGGCGGUUAUUCAAGUCAGAGGUGAAAGCCCGGGGCUCAACCCCGGAACUGCCUUUGAAACUAGAUGACUAGAAUCUUGGAGAGGUCAGUGGAAUUCCGAGUGUAGAGGUGAAAUUCGUAGAUAUUCGGAAGAACACCAGUGGCGAAGGCGACUGACUGGACAAGUAUUGACGCUGAGGUGACGAAAGCGUGGGGGAGCAAAACAGGAUUGAGAAACCCCCAGUA